CGUCCUCUCGCCCCCCUCUCUCAGACGCACCCACAGCCGCCGCCCUCUCCCUCCCUCAGAUCUCGAUCCGCCGCCGCCCCCAAACCCGUAGACGUGGUGCUGUGUUGCCGAGGCCAGGCCGACCUGAGCGCCCUAAUCCUAGCGACCGCCGUCGCCUCCUGGAUCCUAUUCCACGUCGCCUCCGGAUACACGGCCGUGUCGCUAGCCGCCGACGUGCUCCUCGCCGGCAUCGACUCCGCCUUCCGUCGUGUCGCGCAGGGCCAGCUCGGCUCCGGGCGCGUCUUCGCCUGUCUCGCUGCCGCCGCCCUGCUCGCCAGGCUCGCGCGCGACCUCCCCACAUGGUGCUACGCAGGCACAGUGCUCCCUCCCUCCAUUCUCUUUGCUCUGUUGUCCUGUCUGAAUAAUAUUGCGCCUUUCUUCAGAAUUCAAUGACAUGUUUGAGUUGGAAUGUUGGAUCACUUCACCUCCUCUGAUGGACUGAUUGUUUUUGUGGUCGCACUCCAAUCCUGCUGUUGUGGUGGGCGCCGAAAACCCUAGCUGCCGGGGCGCGGCCAUGGCGACCGACCGCAGGCGCAGGACUCGGACUCGUACAACGGUGGUAUGGUAGGCAUCAUGGAGCGGAGCUUGCUCUAUCCGGGACGCCAUGGAUUUUGUUGCGCGUGAAGCUCUUUCUUCCUCCAGCACAAGAACGUACAAGCAGCAUCCAAGGACGGACCCGGCGGAAAACCCAUGGUGCCAUCUGCCGGACAAAUCAGCGUGCUAAUCUGUCGAGCUUUCCUUCUGAUUUCACGAUAUCAACAGGACCUCCUAGUGGGUACCGUGGCCGACCGCAACCACGACUAGGGUACGGAAACGUGGACAUCUCCCCGACUUGUCAAAGCUUGACAGCGGCCUUCCCAGAUCCCCAGGCCAUAUCAAGUCAUCGCUACCCGUUAUUCUUCCCUCCUGUAAUUUUGUUGAUAGCCUAUAGUUUAGUGUUGUGCACCCCUAGCAUGAAAUUAUAUGCUCUGGCAUUUGUGAUUCUGUGAACAACCAGUGAUGCUGCUGCUGCACACCAUAAAUGUUGUGAUUCUAUGCACAACCAAUGAUUUUGUGCACUAUAAAAUUUAGUUCACUUUCUUAAUGUGAUGCUGCUGUUGUACACCAUAAAUUACUGAACAUUUGUUAACACUCCAAAAAUGCAGUAUUUUCUACUAGCCUAUUAAUGUUAUCAGUAUUUGCUGCUGGAGUAUUUAAAAUUAACUGAAACUAUUCCUUUAAUGCUUGCAUAAACUUUUUUAAAGAUGAAUUGGAGUACUCCUUUAAUGAAGGUUUUGUGUAGUCUAUUGCUUGCAUCAGUACUUUUAAAAAUAAAUGAAUCUUUUCAUUUAAGUGUACUCUGGACAGCAGUAGUAUAGCACUUGCUGCUGCUGUUAAGCUUGCAUUAGUACUGGUUGCAGUAGUUUAGUGUAGGACAACAGUAGUAUGGGACGUGCUGCUGCUGUUAAGUUUCUCUUUCUCUUCUCUCUUCUCUUCUCUUUGUCUGCUGGAGUAAACUUUUCCAAUAUACUCCUAGGAGUAAACUUUCUCUGCUGGAGUAGGAAUUGCUCUAAGGAGUAGCAGUAGUGAUUUGUUUAACAGCAGCAACAACAGCAGUGCAUAUCAAUUUAUCAUGCUGACAACAGUAGUGCACAACCAAUUUGGAACUGAUGCAUAUCAAUACAGUAGUGCACAAAGUUCAUCAAACAUCAUGCAAGUUCGAUGCACAAUGUUAGAUGUCUACUGGUUGCUGUAUAUGGGCAAGAUGAAUUGAAUCAUGUUGUUUUCUUUUUGAUGGACACACAUGCAGAUGAUUGACACUCAUGAACAGCAAGCAACUGUACUAGUUACUACCUAGGUGUUCCAGAGAUUGUUGUAUUAUAUAUCUUCCUUUUACUACCAAAAUUAUUGUGCGCUCAUACUGUCAUCGCAUUGCCUGUUUUUCUUGCUGCAUACAUGUAUCUCAAGCAUUGUACUUCUGUGUUUGCUUAGGCGGAUAACUACUAAGUGAUUACAAUUAACAUGUACUUGUGAAUUCUAAGCUUACAUUGCUGUCUUGCGAUCAUGUUCUAAUUAAUGUGUAUAGUCCAAGCACUUGAACUGUCUAAAUGCAUGCACACAAGUUUAGUUAUCUUUUGAAAAAUUGUUGGUGCAUUUUGUGAUGUUAGUGUAUGUGCUUUGACUAGUAAUGUUAGAUCUUGCCUAUUGAAUGGAUGGCCGUGGUAGUAGAAUGACAUUGUUGUUUUAGGUGCAGUGUGUUGCGGUGAGGUUACAGGACCUGCACUUCAUGCAUAUUCAUAGUCUCUGUUUUCUUAUAUGAAUAAAAAAGCAUGGUACUAGCUGGAUUUGUGUUAUCAUUCUAUAAACAGAACUGUCAUUUUUUGAAUGGAAUAUUUAUAAUAUAUUGGCUCCAUUUGUUCUGAUUCUUCUCAGCUUAUUCAUGUAACAAGGGGCGUGUUGCUGUUCUGUUAGCCCAGUCCUGAAUAUGGUUGUCUAGUGAAUUCGGCAUAUGAUCGCUAUCGAAGGAGCUCCAUGCUGAAGAAGAAAACACUUGUAGAGCUUAUGAAGUAUCUAGUUGUUACCUCAUAGAGCUUGUAAUUGUGAUUGCUAUACCUGUAGAGCUUGUAUCGUUAUUCCACUUGUAGAGCUUGUAAAGUUUGUGUUAGAGCUUGUAUUACGUGUUAUUCGGAGAGCAGGAGCUGCAUGAAUCUGGAUGAUCUAAUGUGAGGUAUUACAUGUGUUUUUUGUCAGUGCAAUUUGAA